CCGCCGUAAUGAGGCACUCCGCCUGGGGACUACGGUCGCAAGACUAAAACUCAAAGGAAUUGACGGGGACCCGCACAAGCGGUGGAGCAUGUGGUUUAAUUCGAUGCAACGCGAAAAACCUUACCACUCCUUGACAUGGAGAUUAGAUCCUUCUUAACGGAAGGGCGCAGUUCGGCUGGAUCUCGCACAGGUGCUGCAUGGCUGUCGUCAGCUCGUGUCGUGAGAUGUUGGGUUAAGUCCCGCAACGAGCGUAACCCUCAUCCUUAGUUGCCAGCGGGUUAAGCCGGGCACUUUAAGGAAACUGCCAGUGGUAAACUGGAGGAAGGUGGGGAUGAUGUCAAGUCAGCACGGCCCUUAUGGGGUGGGCUACACACGUGCUACAAUGGUGACUACAAUAGGUUGCAAUGUCGCAAGGCUGAGCUAAUCCGUAAAAGUCAUCUCAGUUCGGAUUGUCCUCUGCAACUCGAGGGCAUGAAGUCGGAAUCGCUAGUAAUCGUGGAUCAGCAUGCCACGGUGAAUACGUUCUCGGGUCUUGUACACACUGCCCGUCACGCCAUGGGAAUUGGCUUAACUCGAAGCUGGUGCGCUAACCGAAAGGAA
rnacentral:rRNA from 1 species